UACGUAGGGUGCAAGCGUUGUCCGGAAUUAUUGGGCGUAAAGAGCUCGUAGGCGGUCUGUCGCGUCUGCUGUGAAAACUCGGGGCUUAACCCCGGGCCUGCAGUGGGUACGGGCAGACUAGAGUGCGGUAGGGGAGACUGGAAUUCCUGGUGUAGCGGUGAAAUGCGCGAUAUCAGGAGGAACACCGGUGGCGAAGGCGGGUCUCUGGGCCGAUACUGACGCUGAGGAGCGAAAGCCAGGGGAGGCAAACGGG
rnacentral:rRNA from 1 species